AGAGUUUGAUCCUGGCUCAGGAUGAACGCUAGCGGCAGGCUUAAUACAUGCAAGUCGAGGGGUAGCAUGAUUGUAGCAAUACAAUUGAUGACGACCGGCAAACGGGUGCGGAACACGUACACAACCUUCCUACAAGUGGGGAAUAGCCCAGAGAAAUUUGGAUUAAUACCCCGUAACAUAGCGAUGUGGCAUCACAUUGCUAUUAUAGCUUCGGCGCUUGUUGAUGGGUGUGCGGCUGAUUAGAUAGUUGGCGGGGUAACGGCCCACCAAGUCUACGAUCAGUAGCUGAUGUGAGAGCAUGAUCAGCCACACGGGCACUGAGACACGGGCCCGACUCCUACGGGAGGCAGCAGUAAGGAAUAUUGGACAAUGGACGCAAGUCUGAUCCAGCCAUGCCGCGUGAAGGAUUAAGGUCCUCUGGAUUGUAAACUUCUUUUAUAAGGGACGAAAAAAGGUCUUUCUAGAUCGUCUGACGGUACCUUAUGAAUAAGCACCGGCUAACUCCGUGCCAGCAGCCGCGGUAAUACGGAGGGUGCAAGCGUUAUCCGGAUUCACUGGGUUUAAAGGGUGCGUAGGCGGGCAGGUAAGUCAGUGGUGA
rnacentral:rRNA from 1 species